AAACUUUCAAGAAUUUGAUUUUUAAAAAGAAAAAAUAAAUAAACCACUUUUACAUGUUCAAAUCCUUAUGUAUGUGGUAUUAAUUGAAGCUCAUUUACUUGAGGUUUCAAAUUCUCCAUCCACACGCUAUAUACACGAUGCAACAAUGUUAUGUAAUAAUCCAAUGCAGACAGGAUGGCUAUUUCCACCAAGGCAGACUCAUCUCAACUCAACUCAACUCAAU
rnacentral:misc_RNA from 1 species